CGUCUUUAUAAGUCUGACCGAAGAUAGAAGGGGAGGGGAGAAGAGGCUUGCAGCUUUCGGCGCUCUUUCGUACUCUUUCCCUCCUUCCAGAUUUAGCUGCCCUUUUUCUUUCUCUAACUAUAUAUAAAUAUAAAUAAAUAAAUAAAUAACUCUUACUAAUAUCCAUUUCUACGACAUUUUUUAAUCUAUUUAUAUAAAACUGUAUAUGGUUUCUGAACAACACCAGAGGGAACUGCUUUUCUCAGCUUCAUUCUCACUGAAUCCACCAAAUCUACCGCCAUUUCUUCAACUCCACAGCUCAGAAAAACAGCCUCUUGGACCUUGGUUAUCAGUUUUGUGAUAUAGGUCAGCUCGAACUGAUAAUGAGUGACAACACUACAUUAAGGAGUUGAGACUUCUGGCAAAACUUUACUCUACAUCUUCUAUGCUGUCUAUUGUGAUUGAAAAUAUGGGCUCAUUCUGCAGCAGAAACCGUCACUACAAUGGAGCUGAUACUGAAGAGAAUGCACAGGAUGCAGAAAUCGAAAGGCGAAUUGAGCAAGAAACAAAAGCUGAAAA